rnacentral:rRNA from 1 species
UGUUUCGGCUAGGGGGCCAUCCCGGCUUACCAACCCGAUGCAAACUGCGAAUACCGGAGAAUGUUAUCACGGGAGACACACGGCGGGUGCUAACGUCCGUCGUGAAGAGGGAAACAACCCAGACCGCCAGCUAAGGUCCCAAAGUCAUGGUUAAGUGGGAAACGAUGUGGGAAGGCCCAGACAGCCAGGAUGUUGGCUUAGAAGCAGCCAUCAUUUAAAGAAAGCGUAAUAGCUCACUGGUCGAGUCGGCCUGCGCGGAAGAUGUAACGGGGCUAAACCAUGCACCGAAGCUGCGGCAGCGACACUGUGUGUUGUUGGGUAGGGGAGCGUUCUGUAAGCCUGUGAAGGUGUGUCGUGAGGCAUGCUGGAGGUAUCAGAAGUGCGAAUGCUGACAUAAGUAACGAUAAAGCGGGUGAAAAGCCCGCUCGCCGGAAGACCAAGGGUUCCUGUCCAACGUUAAUCGGGGCAGGGUGAGUCGACCCCUAAGGCGAGGCCGAAAGGCGUAGUCGAUGGGAAACGGGUUAAUAUUCCCGUACUUGGUGUUACUGCGAAGGGGGGACGGAGAAGGCUAUGUUGGCCGGGCGACGGUUGUCCCGGUUUAAGCGUGUAGGUGUGUGUUCCAGGUAAAUCCGGUUCACUUUAACACUGAGGCGUGACGACGAGGCACUACGGUGCUGAAGCAACAAAUGCCCUGCUUCCAGGAAAAGCCUCUAAGCAUCAGGUAACAUCAAAUCGUACCCCAAACCGACACAGGUGGUCAGGUAGAGAAUACCAAGGCGCUUGAGAGAACUCGGGUGAAGGAACUAGGCAAAAUGGUGCCGUAACUUCGGGAGAAGGCACGCUGACACGUAGGUGAAGUGAUUUACUCAUGGAGCUGAAGUCAGUCGAAGAUACCAGCUGGCUGCAACUGUUUAUUAAAAACACAGCACUGUGCAAACACGAAAGUGGACGUAUACGGUGUGACGCCUGCCCGGUGCCGGAAGGUUAAUUGAUGGGGUCAGCGCAAGCGAAGCUCCUGAUCGAAGCCCCGGUAAACGGCGGCCGUAACUAUAACGGUCCUAAGGUAGCGAAAUUCCUUGUCGGGUAAGUUCCGACCUGCACGAAUGGCGUAAUGAUGGCCAGGCUGUCUCCACCCGAGACUCAGUGAAAUUGAACUCGCUGUGAAGAUGCAGUGUACCCGCGGCAAGACGGAAAGACCCCGUGAACCUUUACUAUAGCUUGACACUGAACAUUGAGCCUUGAUGUGUAGGAUAGGUGGGAGGCUUUGAAGUGUGGACGCCAGUCUGCAUGGAGCCGACCUUGAAAUACCACCCUUUAAUGUUUGAUGUUCUAACGUGGACCCGUUACCCGGGUUGCGGACAGUGUCUGGUGGGUAGUUUGACUGGGGCGGUCUCCUCCUAAAGAGUAACGGAGGAGCACGAAGGUUGGCUAAUCCUGGUCGGACAUCAGGAGGUUAGUGCAAUGGCAUAAGCCAGCUUGACUGCGAGCGUGACGGCGCGAGCAGGUGCGAAAGCAGGUCAUAGUGAUCCGGUGGUUCUGAAUGGAAGGGCCAUCGCUCAACGGAUAAAAGGUACUCCGGGGAUAACAGGCUGAUACCGCCCAAGAGUUCAUAUCGACGGCGGUGUUUGGCACCUCGAUGUCGGCUCAUCACAUCCUGGGGCUGAAGUAGGUCCCAAGGGUAUGGCUGUUCGCCAUUUAAAGUGGUACGCGAGCUGGGUUUAGAACGUCGUGAGACAGUUCGGUCCCUAUCUGCCGUGGGCGCUGGAGAACUGAGGGGGGCUGCUCCUAGUACGAGAGGACCGGAGUGGACGCAUCACUGGUGUUCGGGUUGUCAUGCCAAUGGCACUGCCCGGUAGCUAAAUGCGGAAGAGAUAAGUGCUGAAAGCAUCUAAGCACGAAACUUGCCCCGAGAUGAGUUCUCCCUGAGACUUUAGGUCUCCUGAAGGAACGUUGAAGACGACGACGUUGAUAGGCCGGGUGUGUAAGCGCAGCGAUGCGUUGAGCUAACCGGUACUAAUGAACCGUGAGGCUUAACCUUACAACGCCGAAG